rnacentral:rRNA from 1 species
GCAGUCGAGCGAACAGAUAAGGAGCUUGCUCCUUUGACGUUAGCGGCGGACGGGUGAGUAACACGUGGAUAACCUACCUAUAAGACUGGGAUAACUUCGGGAAACCGGAGCUAAUACCGGAUAACAUAUUGAACCGCAUGGUUCAAUAGUGAAAGGCGGCUUUGCUGUCACUUAUAGAUGGAUCCGCGCCGUAUUAGCUAGUUGGUAAGGUAACGGCUUACCAAGGCAACGAUACGUAGCCGACCUGAGAGGGUGAUCGGCCACACUGGAACUGAGACACGGUCCAGACUCCUACGGGAGGCAGCAGUAGGGAAUCUUCCGCAAUGGGCGAAAGCCUGACGGAGCAACGCCGCGUGAGUGAUGAAGGUCUUCGGAUCGUAAAACUCUGUUAUCAGGGAAGAACAAAUGUGUAAGUAACUGUGCACAUCUUGACGGUACCUGAUCAGAAAGCCACGGCUAACUACGUGCCAGCAGCCGCGGUAAUACGUAGGUGGCAAGCGUUAUCCGGAAUUAUUGGGCGUAAAGCGCGCGUAGGCGGUUUUUUAAGUCUGAUGUGAAAGCCCACGGCUCAACCGUGGAGGGUCAUUGGAAACUGGAAAACUUGAGUGCAGAAGAGGAAAGUGGAAUUCCAUGUGUAGCGGUGAAAUGCGCAGAGAUAUGGAGGAACACCAGUGGCGAAGGCGACUUUCUGGUCUGUAACUGACGCUGAUGUGCGAAAGCGUGGGGAUCAAACAGGAUUAGAUACCCUGGUAGUCCACGCCGUAAACGAUGAGUGCUAAGUGUUAGGGGGUUUCCGCCCCUUAGUGCUGCAGCUAACGCAUUAAGCACUCCGCCU